UCGGGGAACUCCUUCAAUGGCCUUGUCCCUCGCGCCAAAUCCCAUUCAUCGUUCCGGGGCCUUCAACUGCUCCAUGGCGGCAGAGCUCGAUCCGUGUGGGAGCCGUUCGUCUUCCCAUCGAUCGACACCUAUUCUUCGAUUCUAGUAUCAUUCUAGAAUCUAGCUUGGUUUUCGUGUUAGAUUUCAUUGUCUUAGGCUGUGGAAUCGUCAACACUUGAUUUGAUUUGAUUUGGUAGGAACUAGGAAGCAUCAGCUGCUGGUGUAAAGUUGCUUUGCUUUCCUUAGGCUUUCUCCUUUGUGUGCUACCGAGAUGGUGAGUCUCUUGAGAUUGCUGAACCUAUCGAUGGAACUAUUAUGCAUAGAUAUUGUUCUCUGGCAAGGUAUUUGAAGUAGAAAGCCACGCUUUUUGUUUCAAUAACAAUGUACCUGUUGUUCGACCGUAAAUUGUGAAUUUUUUCACACAAUGUGAAUGGUUUUUGAGGUGGUACUAUCUCAUGUUUGCAGAUUUUGACCCCUUAAAAACUUUUGAUUGGAAAGUAAUAUUGGAAUUCUUCUCAUGGUUAUGUUUAUUAUAACCCAGUUGUAUGCAUGGAUGGUCAGACUUUGUAAAUAGUAUUACAUUAUAAAGCUUUUGAUUUUUUUUGUUUUGUGUUAUUAAAUAUCGGACAAAAUUAGAUUGUAGAUUAUGUUGAAGUUCUCGUGAACUAUGAGUUUGAUGCUUCACAGAAGCUCUGGGUCAUCUUGCUUACAUGUAUCCAGAUAUGUAUAUAUGACAGAGAAUCAAAUUUUUGGUUAUCUUCCAAUAGAAAGGUUUAGAUAACAAACACCUUUAUAAUACUCAUGUUUUGGUGGAUGGUACUGGGAGCAUCAAAAGAUUAUAUAUUUAGAUACUGUGUUUGAUGUGGAUGUCCCUGGGAACAUGGUUUACAAGGAGAGUAAUUUUACCACACCAGGUCAUGAUAUUGUUGUGGAGGACAGGGGUGCUUGGGUCUUACAGUCUGUUAUGAGUGAAGAUUUCCUGAGCUAUAUCAGCUGUUAUGGUUUCAACAUAAUGCCCAGGUAGUUGCAGCUGCUCAAGCUGGAAAGCACAAUGAGAAAAGAGAAAGCUAUGGUGAUUCACUAAUUAUUGAUCCAUGGGGAAGAAUUAUAGCUCGAUUACCUGAUCGUCUUUCUACUGGAAUAGCCAUCGCUGAUAUUGAUUUAUCAAAUAUUGAAUCUGUUAGGAUGAGGAUGCCGAUUUCAGAGGUAAUUCUAAAUCUACAUCUCUUUCUUGAACUUGUGAAUGUUUUUCCACUGCCCUGAUAAUUAAUGUACUAAUCUUUAAUAGCAUCAAAAAGUUAAGGCUUUUGGUGAAAAGCUUCGUGUUUGUGAAAUUGCAUGCAAGUGCUUGUUGAUGCAAUAUGUAGUGAUUGAGAUCUAUUGAGACCAUUGAUGUAAGUGAAGUUCCUAGUAUAGAUGAGGGCUAUCAUGUCUAGGGCUAUGUGGAAUGCCAGAUACAAAAAAGAAAGAGAUUUGAUCAAUGACAUUCAUAAAAAUAGAUGGUAAAAUACAAAUUAAUUAAACUAGUCAUGAUACUCCAUUAGUGAGCAGCAAACAGGGUUUCUGUAAAUCAUGGUCUCAUACAAUUUAAAUCCCUAUCGCCCUUGUAUAGUCACUGUAUAUGUUUCCAUUCUUUCUUGAACAUUAGUAUACUCCUCACAAUGUCCAAAAUUCAAUUACAAAUCCUAACAUCAAAGCACUGGCAAACCAAACAGCUGUAUUACUACUAUCUGCAUCAUGGCUAUCAAAACUUGGUCUAUUAAAUGAAGUCAAGAUAAAUCAGGUUCUUCAAGAAACUCAAUAACUCUGUGAUGGAGCUAUUAAAUGGAGUAUCUGAGAUGCUUGAAACCAAUUAAUAGGUAUGCUCAUUAAUUUGUGGUGGUUGCUGGCAUUGGAGGUUGAGGUGCAUGGCAUGGGUCAGGGUGGUUGUUGCAAUGCACUCUGAUCAGGGUUCUAUCUUUUCAAGAUAUAAAUUCUAUUUGAUUCACACUGUGUUGGUGAUUUCCUUCUUUUUUAAGUAUUAACCCAAACCAUGAGUUGUAAGAAAAAAAUUUUCAUCCACCUCCAGAAAUUGUAAGUUAGAUUUGGUCUGUAUAAUUAAACCCAUCUGUUGGUGAAAACUAGAUCAAAGGU